rnacentral:rRNA from 1 species
CGACCGGGUGAGUAACACGUGACUAACCUACCUUUGAGUGGGGGAUAACAUCGGGAAACCGAUGCUAAUACCGCAUAACAUCGACGCUUUUCAAUAAGUGACGAUCAAAGCAGCAAUGCGCUGGAAGAGGGGGUCGCGGCUGAUUAGCUAGUUGGCGGGGUAACGGCCCACCAAGGCGAAGAUCGGUAUCCGGCCUGAGAGGGCGCACGGACACACUGGAACUGAAACACGGUCCAG